rnacentral:rRNA from 1 species
GAGCUGGGUUUAGAACGUCGUGAGACAGUUCGGUCCCUAUCUGCCGUGGGCGCUGGAGAACUGAGGGGGGCUGCUCCUAGUACGAGAGGACCGGAGUGGACGCAUCACUGGUGUUCGGGUUGUCAUGCCAAUGGCACUGCCCGGUAGCUAAAUGCGGAAGAGAUAAGUGCUGAAAGCAUCUAAGCACGAAACUUGCCCCGAGAUGAGUUCUCCCUGACCCUUUAAGGGUCCUGAAGGAACGUUGAAGACGACGACGUUGAUAGGCCGGGUGUGUAAGCGCAGCGAUGCGUUGAGCUAACCGGUACUAAUGAACCGUGAGGCUUAACCUU